CGGCCCUGAGAGAAGGAGGGAGACUGGUGGCCUUUAAAGGAAAAGACUCAGAGAUUUGAACGGUUGCCAGGCGGCCUCCAGGAAGAAGCAGCUGGGAGAAGCAGGACGGCACUGGACGCUUGGCAGAGAAAGACCCUGGGCAAGAGACUGGGGGUAAAGAUUUGGAGAUGAAAUAGCAAAGCGCUGAUCUAACUCAGGGCUGGCCCAAGCUGUUCCCAAGAGGGGCCCCUCAUCUUUACGAGAAUCUCUUGAGUGUCUGACUGUCUCGCUUGAUGCAGACCCAGGGUUGUAGUAGUGGCUACAUUUAUCCCAAAACAAUGAAAAGCCAACCACAAAGUUCCCCCAGCUCCCAGCCAUGCUGACACGGAAGGGAGAGGCUGUGGAAGAUGGCACUGGAUGUCCGAUGGCCCAGCCUGGUGGUGAAGGAUGUCACUUCUGCCUAUAUUCCGUUUCCCGCACUCAAUCAUGUGGUCCACGCCAUGCUGCACAGGCAGUUUGAGGAUGUGGUCUUCCCACCUGGCCAAGAUAAGGGAUGGGUCAGCCUCAUCCAAUCCAUGAGGACCUGAAUAGUAAACAAGAAGGCAGAAGAAGGAAAGUCGCCCCUUUUGCUUCCUGCCUACCUGCUGGACGGGGACCUCGGGCUUCUCCUGCCCUUGGACUGGGACUUCCACCGUCGGCGCCCCUGGUUCUCAGGCCUUUGCACUCAGACCGGAAUUAGACCACUAGCUUUCCUGGGCCUCCAGCUUGCAGAUGGCAGAUGGAAAAACUCUGGUAACAACAAGGGUCCCUGGAGAAGCCAGUCGGGGUAUCAGUGAUGGAGGUUACAAGGAAUACAGACAUCCUCUUACUUCAGAUGAUGACAUUAAGAGAAAGAAAGAAAACAGAGGAAUUGGGAAAUACAUCAGUGACUGGACAGCCACUUACCAGUCAAGACACAGCACCAGCACUAACGACCCAAUGAGAACUCUGGGGACCAGGCAUCUUCUUGUCUCGGAAGUGGACAUCUGUCACUCCCUCCUUGUGAUCCCCACACUGGUGACUUUGUUUCUUUCACACAUGAUUUGUCCACCUGCUGCCUCUGAAAGUUAGUGUCACUAUAUAUAGAAUUCUAGGUUGAAUGCUGGUGUUUUUUCGUUCAGCACUUAAAAUGAUCAUUUCAUUGUCUUCUGUCUUGUAUUAUUUCUGAUGAGAAGUCAGUCAUCAUUCUUGACAUUCCAUUUUUUAAAAAUCUCUUUUCAAUCUCUGACUCAGUUGGAUAAUAUCUAUAACUGCUGUUCAAGUUCAUUAAUGUUUUCUUUCUUUCUUUGUUUUUUUUUGGUGAGGAAGAUUGGCCCUGAGCUAAGUUCUGUUGCCAAUCUUCUUUUUUUCCCCUGCCCACAGCCCCAGUACCUAGUUGUCUGUCCUAGCUGUAGGUCCUUCCAGUUCUUCUAUGUGGGACACUGCCUCAGCAUGGCUUGAUGAGCGAUGGUAGGCAAACCCCAGGCUGCUGAAGUGGAGUGUGUGAACCUAACCACUACACCACUGGGCAGGCCCCACUAAUGUUGGCUUUUGAGGAUUCAAACUGCUGUUAAUAUCAUCUAGUGAACUUUUUAUUUCAGGCAUUGCAUUUUAUCAUGCUAGAAUUUCCAUUUUCUCCUUUUUUAGUGUUCACUUUUCUUGCCUGAGAUACCCCUAUCUCUUACAUUCACCUUUCUCUGUAAAUUCUUAAAAAUGUUUAUAAUAAUUGUUUUAAAAUUCUUCUUCAUUCCAAUAACUGGGGUUAACGGCCGGUCUGCCUCUAUUGACCAUGCUUUCUCUUGACUGUUGGUCAGUGUCUCCUGUUUGUUUGCAUGCCUCAUAAAUUUUUACUGUAUCUCAUAAACGUGUAUACAAAGACAGUGAAGACUGAAGUAUAAUAAUCUUCACAUUUUAUUUCUCAGAGAAUGCAGGCCCUUUCUCUCUGUCUGGCAGGCUGAAGGGCCAAUUAUUCACAUUCCUUCUGGAGUCAGAUUGACCCGGAUCUGGGCUGAAGUUUUAAUUAGAUUGAGAUUAUUUAUGCUUAGACGGACCCCCCAACUCGCACACUACUGCUGUCUUUUUGACAUUACCAAUAUUUGAGCUGAUGGUCUUCCAUUUUAAAUAUUUUUCAUUUACUUUGGAUUCAAGUCAGCAGAACCCUGGAAUCCAAGCUCUGUGGGAAUUCGGGGUUCUUGGUGACUUUGCUCUGCAUUUUAGUCCUUUCUUGUCUGAUUCUUUUCGGUCAAAGUUUGAGGGGAGAAGUUGUUGGGACCAUUUGUUUUUGUAAUUGGGACACUUCCACAUUUCGGAUUCACCUCUCUAGCCUCCACCACCAUCAGAGGCUCAGCUGAUUUCUUCUCCUUCCUGCAAAGUCCCUGCCAUACCUAAACCACAAACUCUUCCCUGGGGGUCGGCUGUCCUGACUCUCCGUUUGCCAGCGGAGGGCUCGUUUCUCAGAAACUCAGUUCAGUAAGCCUCCCUUUGUCCCAGAUCUUUCUUAGCCCCUUCGAAAAGUGUGAUUUUUAUAUGUCUGGGUUUUUGUUGGUGUUACCACGUGAACAAAGAUGUUUCAAGUCCUACCUUCUAACCUGAAGUGGAUGUCAGAAUCAAAGAUUUGAAUUUUUAAAAAUAUAACCAUAGGAUCACUAGAAAAAAAUAUGGGAUAAUUUAUUUUACAAUUUGGAAUGGAGAAAGUCCUUUCAAAGCAGGACGCAAACCUCAGAGCCUCAGAAAUCAUAGGGUGAUUUAAGCUCCCUCUUUCUGUCUCUCUCUCUCAUAUGCGUGAUGCGUGAGAUAUAUAGAUGUAUAUAUUCAUAGAUAUAGAUAUGGAUCUAUAUAUCUCUUCAACUUCAGUAUAGUAAAAUAUACCAAAGACAGAUGACAAACUGAGAAAGAAAUAUUUGCAACACAUAAGACAAAGAUUGCUUCAAAAAAACAUGUUGAGAUUUUUUAAUAAAUAAUUUUAGAAGGGAAAUGGAAAAGGCAGAUAGUUCACAUAAAAAUCAUCAUAAAUAGAUUGUCAACAUGGAAAGAUGCUCCCACUCACUGAAAAUUAAGAACUACGACGGGGGCCGGCUCUGUGGUCCAGUGGUUAAGUUCGUGUGCUCCGCUGCGGCGGCCCAGGGUUCAGACCCUGGGCGCGGACAUGGCACCGCUCAUCAGGCCAUGUUGAGGUUGCGUCCCACAUCCCACAACUAGAAGGACCUGCAACUAAGAUAUACAACUGUGUACCCGGGGGGUUUGGGAAAUAAAGCAGAAAAAAAAAAAAAAAAGAUUGGCAACAGUUGUUAGCCCAGGUGCCAAUCUUUAAAAAAAAAAAAAAAACUACGACGUGGACUGGACACUGUUUUCGCCUGUCACCUUGACACAGCUAGGUGCCAGGGUCUGGGAAGCCAGCAGUCGCACACACUGUGGAGGGGGGUGGAAAUUAGCACAGCGUCCUUAGAUGUGUUUGUUUCACGUUCUCUUAAGAGUGUUUUUUGUCAAUCUCUAACAAAAUUAGAAAAUUAAUAUGACCUUUGACCCAGCAAUUUCAGUUCCUAGGAAUUUAUUCUACAGAUAUGCCUAAAAUGCACAUAAGGAUGUGUGCAAAAGCGUAAUGAUUGCCGCAUUGUUGACAAGAGCAAAAACUGAAAACAACUAAUAUCCGUAAUGCGGGGCUGGUUAAAAAUUUAUGGCAUAUCAUCUCAACGGAAUGCUCCAAAGCUAGAAGGAAAUUCAGAGCCGUGUGUGCCGAGAUAGAAAGAUUACCAAGGUAUAUGGCCAAGUGCAAAAACCAAGACAUAGAAUAAUAUGAUUUAUAUGCCCUCAUUUAUAUAAAAAGAGGAGAUCAAUGGAUGUGUGUACAGGACAAUGUCUGGAAGGUACACAGGGAAUUGUUGAGGAGCGGGAUUAGGAGUCUGGGUUGGAAGGGGGUUUGUUUUUCAUUUUAAACUGCCCUAUUAUUUGAAUUUUUUUAAAAUCAAGGACCGUGUUAUUUUUAUAAAAUAAAGGAAGUCAUCACUAUGCUAUGAAAUAGGGCCUUUAGCAAUGUUUAUUACUUACUGACUUAUAUGGGUGUUGUAUCACAGACGGUGUCAUAUUCCCUUUUGAAUAUUCUCAGAGUCCAUUCUAGAGAGAGCCUUUCACACAGGAGAAACAAGGUGUGAACAAAGGAGCAAAUGAAACUAUGAAUUUAUUGACAGCCCGUGCGAGAUAUGCAAGUUGGCAGAAUCUACUGAUAAUCUCAAACCACCUUCUUCAGUGGUCCAGAUAAUGACCUAUUUUGCUGACCCGAAGUCAGAGCUACUACUCAUAAAGGCUUUGAAAAAACAUCAAUGAACAUUCGCUUUUGGGUGGGGCUAAGCCAUCAUUCUAGAAGAAAAAACGAUCUCUUGUCUUGUGUGAACCGCAACGGUAUUUUGGAAAUCACGGAACACUGGGCUGGGAAGCAAGUCUGAGUUCCGUAAUAAAUACUAACUAGCAUACAACCUGAAGUGAGUUACUGUUCCUGUUCCGGCUUCAUCUGUGACACGGUGACUGAUGGCUAAG
rnacentral:lncRNA from 1 species